rnacentral:rRNA from 1 species
AUGAUCAGAGGUCAUGCUCUCAACUUGCUGCACUUGUUUGAUAUACCUCAGAAAUUCAAAGUCAUGAGCCUGAUUGUGGAAACAAUCAAGAGGACUGCAACUGAUCAGAAGAGGUGUUGUGGGUAUGCUCCACACAUUCGGGAGCUCAUCAACUUAAAGAUGGGCAUAGGAACGUAUCUAUUGGACAAGGAGCAUCUACCCCUAUAUCCUAAAUUUGAAGACAACACUGUUGAGAUGAAUGAGGAGGAACCAUCAUUUGUGCAAGCACAUGAAAAGAGAGAGAAAGCAAGGGCAGAGAAAGUUGCAAAGAUGCCAACUGCUGAAGAGGCAUCUCAAGUGUUUCUGAAGAGCAAGCAAGACCAGCUUGGCCACUUGAUUGCCUCCACCUUGAGGAUUGAGAAGGGAUUGGCCACCCUGACUAAAAACCAGGAGAGCUUGGAGAGAAUCAUAGAGCAGAAGUUUUAUGCACUUGAUGUGAAGGUCACAGGAAUCCAAACUGUAGUUGAGCAACUUCAGGAGGAAGUGGAGGAGAAGAAGGGAAAGUCUACCACAGAUGCAUUUGCUAGAGUGCUGAGAGAUCAGAGAUCUGCUGCAGUGUCUGUUCCAGACACCGGAGCUACAUCAUCUGCACCAGCUGCUACAACCUCAGUGUCUCCAGCUCCAGCACCCACUCCACCAGCUCCAGCUACAUCAACUGAUGCUUUCGUCCUUGGAGUCAUCUCUACACCACCACAUGAAGAUCAAGCCUGA